UACGUAGGGUCCGAGCGUUGUCCGGAAUUAUUGGGCGUAAAGAGCUCGUAGGCGGUCUGUCGCGUCUGGUGUGAAAAAUCCAGGGCUUAACCCUGGACCUGCAUCGGGUACGGGGCAGACUAGAGUGCGGUAGGGGGAGAUCGGAAUUCCUGGUGUAGCGGUGAAAUGCGCAGAUAUCAGGAGGAACACCGGUGGGCGAAGGCGGGAUCUCUGGGGCCGUAACUGACGCUGAGGAGCGAAAGCAUGGGGAGCGAACAGG
rnacentral:rRNA from 1 species